rnacentral:rRNA from 1 species
GACGAACGCUGGCGGCGUGGAUUAGGCAUGCAAGUCGAACGGUAUCAUCCUUUCGGGGGUGAGAGAGUGGCGAACUGGUGAGUAACACGUAGGUUAUCUACCCUCAAGACGGGGACAACCCAGGGAAACUUGGGCUAAUACCGGAUGUGAGCAACUUUUAGUUGUUUGAAAGGUGGCGUAAGCUGUCGCUUGGGGAUGAGCCUGCGUCCUAUUAGUUAGUUGGUGAGGUAACGGCUCACCUAGGCAAUGAUAGGUAGGCGGCCUUAACGGGUGGUCGCCCACACUGGGAUUGAGAUACGGCCCAGACUCCUACGGGAGCAGCAGUCGAGAAUAGUCUACAAUGGUCGGAAGACUGAUAGUGCGACGCCGCGUGAACGAUGAAUCCCUUCGGGUGUAAAGUUCUUUUAUAUGUGAGCAGUGCUUCUUAUAUUAACAGUAUGGGGAGAGAGAUAUUAGCAUAUGAAUAAGCAACGGCUAACUCCGUGCCAGCAGCCGCGGUAAU